ACGUUGGGAACUAGGUGUGGGGAUGCUAUCCUGUGUUUCUGCGCCGUAGCUAACGCAUUUAGUUCCCCGCCAGGGGAGUACGGUCGCAAGGCUAAAACUCAAAGGAAUUGACGGGGGCCCGCACAAGCGGCGGAGCAUGCGGAUUAAUUCGAUGCAACGCGAAGAACCUUACCAAGGCUUGACAUACACUGCGAUGGUUCCAGAGAUGGGCCAGCCUUCGGGGUGGUGUACAGGUGGUGCAUGGUUGUCGUCAGCUCGUGUCGUGAGAUGUUGGGUUAAGUCCCGCAACGAGCGCAACCCUUGCCUCAUGUUGCCAGCGGUUCGGCCGGGGACUCGUGAGGGACUGCCGGGGUUAACUCGGAGGAGGGUGGGGAUGACGUCAAAUCAUCAUGCCCCUUAUGUCUUGGGCUUCACGCAUGUUACAAUGGCCAGUACAGAGCGUUGCGAUACCGUGAGGUGGGGCUAAUCUCUUAAAGCUGGUCUCGGUUCGGAUUGGGGUCUGCAACU
rnacentral:rRNA from 1 species